rnacentral:lncRNA from 1 species
UUUCGAUACAGUUUGAUCAUGUCAAUAAUUCAUGGAGAAAAUAAUAAUCUUUAAUUUAUAAUUGAGAUACAGAGAUGCCAAUCCCAGGAGCUGGAUUCUUUUGUAAUUAAGAUUAUUAAGAGACAAAGUCCAAUCAACGAGGUUCAUCACUUUAUUGCGACAUAAUAAGUUUAUGAGUAACUGAAAGUAGUCAAGUAAUGACCAGUGCUCGACGUUGUACAAUCUUAGGUUGACCUAGAGUGAGAUCUCAUAGUUGACAUUUAAGUCUAAAAAAUAUCGUUUUCAUAAUAUACCCUUUUUUUGUCGAUCAGUUAUGUCCUAGGAAAUACGUAUACUUGAAAUAUCUAAAAUAGCAAUGACGAUUCCUAUAAUAACCAGUCUACAGCUGGAUUGGGAUAUUAUGAGGUAUUACUACGUUUAUGGGCUGUUGUUUUUAUUGGUUCGAAGGAGAGCUGAAGGCCACCGCUUCAAUAUCGCUAUUACAGAUAAGUAAAUUUUGACCUCCGCGUUUCUUUGAAGUGGUAUAUUUAUUUUCUGGUACCAGGGGCGUCGGCAGGGAGGGGCCAACGGCGUGACUAGGAUUUCUAUUUAUCUGUUGACUAUCUUAAAAUGAUAUUUAUAUUUAAAUAAUUUAAAUUCAAUUUGUAACCUGAAAAAUAAAUUAUACCCUUGAACAUUCAA